rnacentral:pre_miRNA from 1 species
AAUCUACUCCCUCCGUUCCGAAUUACUUGUCGCAGGUAUGGAUGUAUCUAGAUGUAUUUUAGUUCUGGAUACAUCCAUUUCUACGACGAGUAAUUUGGAAUGGAGGGAGUACUUU